rnacentral:rRNA from 1 species
UUGGAGGGCAAGUCUGGUGCCAGCAGCCGCGGUAAUUCCAGCUCCAAUAGCGUAUAUUAAAGUUGUUGCAGUUAAAAAGCUCGUAGUUGAUUUUCGGGGUUAGUAGGUUGGUCAUGUCCCUGGUAUGUACUGGUCUCACUGAUUCCUCCUUCCUGAUGAGCCGUAAUGCCAUUAAUUUGGUGUUGCGGGGAAUUUGGACUGUUACUUUGAAAAAAUUAGAGUGUUUAAAGCAAGCUAACGCUUGAAUACAUUAGCAUGGAAUAAUGAAAUAGGACGUUCGAUCCUAUUUUGUUGGUUUCUAGGGUUGACGUAAUGAUUAAUAGGGAUAGUUGGGGGCAUUAGUAUUCAAUUGUCAGAGGUGAAAUUCUUGGAUUUAUUGAAGACUAACUACUGCGAAAGCAUUUGCCAAGGAUGUUUUCAUUAAUCAAGAACGAAAGUUAGGGGAUCGAAGACGAUCAGAUACCGUCGUAGUCUUAACCAUAAACUAUGCCGACUAGGGAUCGGAUGAUGUUAAUUUUUUAAUGACUCAUUCGGCGCCUUACGGGAAACCAAAGUGUUUGGGUUC